rnacentral:tRNA from 1 species
GGGGUAUUAGCGCAGCUGGGAGCGCAUCACACUGGCAGUGUGGGGGUCAGGGGUUCGAAUCCCCUAUGCUCCACCA